GCGCAACUAGAAAAAAAAUUCGGGAGGGUUACAUUAAUAUAAUAUACAUCGUCAGGUGUACCGACGUAAAGGAGUACUGUGGCCUCGGAGAAAUUACGGUGGGGAGGGGGGUUGCAACCCCUUAACUCCUCCCCUGGUUGCGCCACUGCCUUCUCCAUACUCUGUGACGAAAACGCACAAAUAUCGCGGUAUCGCAAAUAUUAAACGAUUAUCUUAUUAUAUACAGUGCCAAACAAGGUCUAUCAUAUAUACAAUAUACGUAAUAUAAUUUUAUUAUAGGCGAUAAUGUUUUGGAGAAGAGGCAGAUGUAUUUAAAUAUAAUAUUCUAUUCCAGUCAUUUAAAAAUCAAAGGUUGUCUUUAAUUGAUAAAAUGCCAUUUCUUUGGACGAAAUAAAAGGAUGUACAUAAUAUACCUACAUCCUACAUAUUAUAAAGAUGCUAUACAAGUGAAUUGGAUAACUUAUUAGAAGGACGAAGUGCAGCGAUAAGAAAGAGUAGUCCAUUACUAAUUAAAGUCCUCGACGCGUUUGAUUCCAUUUACGACGAACACGUUCACACGAUGGAAGCCGUCGCUCACCAUGGACUUAACAGCCGACUCUAGCGAACAAGCAUACAGCUGCCGGAUAUGAUCGUAGUCUA